CUUGACACAGGGUCAUUUUGACAUGACCUAAAUAUCAAGCCAGUAAGUUGUCAGUGUGUAUUGUGAUGCCUUAGCAUGCUGCAGGGAGAUGGGGAGGGGGUGACGGGACAUGUGCAGUAGCAUCAAGGAUGGAGGAGGCUCAGGACUAAGACACAGAAUGAGGAGAAGGUCAGAAAUAGUAAAGGGUCAGGGAUACCAUGGUUGCACUCAGUACUGUCACUAUGCUGAGCACUGGGGAAGUAACUACCCAAGACCUAGUCCUGCUCUCGAGGAGGUCAGUCUGUUAGGACAGAUCAGAGAGUGGAAUAGGCUCCGUGGAUGCAGAGGAACCAUGGACCGUGGAGCACUGUAAGAAAAAUGGACACGUUCAAAUUGUGGACUUGCCCUGGGCUGGACUGCUGGGAAUACACUUGGCAGUGACUGUGUCAGUGGUGCUGUUGAGGCAAAGGGGAAGCAGUGAUAAAAGUAGCUGGAUGGAGCGUGAAGUUGCAUACGGUUGCUGAAAAAGGUACCAACAGAGGUGAGGGAUAAACGGUGGGUCUCAUGGGGGAAAAGAAGGGUUAAAUCACAUCACAUCUAGAUCUGGAAUUUCUCCACUUUUUUCCAGGAACCUCUGGAUUGAUUAAAUGGCAAAUUCUGGCAACCCAGUCCUGGCGCUGUCAUUUCUCCCAUUCUGCCGCAUGCUUCUACACACACGUACAUACACAGAGACUCUCCA
rnacentral:lncRNA from 1 species